rnacentral:rRNA from 1 species
UGGCGCACGGGUGCGUAACGCGUGGGAAUCUGCCCCUUGGUUCGGAAUAACAGUUGGAAACGACUGCUAAUACCGGAUGAUGACGUAAGUCCAAAGAUUUAUCGCCGAGGGAUGAGCCCGCGUAGGAUUAGGUAGUUGGUGUGGUAAAGGCGCACCAAGCCGACGAUCCUUAGCUGGUCUGAGAGGAUGAUCAGCCACACUGGGACUGAGACACGGCCCAGACUCCUACGGGAGGCAGCAGCUGGGGAAUAUUGGACAAUGGGCGAAAGCCUGAUCCAGCAAUGCCGCGUGAGUGAUGAAGGCCUUAGGGUUGUAAAGCUCUUUUACCCGGGAUGAUAAUGACAGUACCGGGAGAAUAAGCUCCGGCUAACUCCGUGCCAGCAGCCGCGGUAAUACGGAGGGAGCUAGCGUUAUUCGGAAUUACUGGGCGUAAAGCGCACGUAGGCGGCUUUGUAAGUAAGAGGUGAAAGCCCAGAGCUCAACUCUGGAAUUGCCUUUUAGACUGCAUCGCUUGAAUCAUGGAGAGGUCAGUGGAAUUCCGAGUGUA